rnacentral:sRNA from 1 species
GUCUGUCCUCCUCACAGAAGCCUGGAGCUGGGCAUCCAGGAAGAAGCAGCCUCAUUUGUUUUCUGGUGUCAUCGUAGGUGGCCACCUAUGGCUUUUGGGCUUCUCACCUGGGGCGGGUGGGUGCUGCACUACCCUCUCACCCUCCUUCCUCCGUGUGGACGACAGAGCCACAUCCAGCACCACGGACAGCUCCCGGGCGAUCCCAUGGGAGUAGAAGAGGUGUGAGCAGGUUGCCCAGCUGGUUAGCGGAAAUGCCAAGAUUCAGGCUCCUGAAUUUCAGCCUGGCCCUUUUUAUCUGUCUGAUACCUCCUUUAGGAGUCUCUCUGCCUGAGUUGGGUGGAGCGGGCCUGCUGCUGUUUGGGGGAGUGUGCAGGUUGCCCAUAUGCAAAAAAGGACAGGAUGCAUGACUGGGCAUCCUUCAUCUCCUCGUCCUCCAGGCAGCACAAGCCAUUGUGGAAUCUCCACCGGGUGUACAGAAUGGUGCCUCUGCGUCCUGCCACUCAGGACCUCUCGAGUCCCCAAUGUGAUGACUCCUCA